rnacentral:rRNA from 1 species
AUUGAACGCUGGCGGCAUGCUUUACACAUGCAAGUCGGACGAGUGGCGAACGGGUGAGUAACUUAUCGGACCGUACCGGGUAAGGGGGGAUAACUAUUCGAAAGAUUGGCUAAUCCCGCAUAUUAUUCGAGCGGCCGAUAUCUGAUUAGCUGGUGGGGGGGGUAAAGGCUUCCCAAGGCGACGAUCAGUAGCGGGUCUGAGAGGAUGAUCCGCCACACUGGGACUGAGACACGGCCCAGACUCCUACGGGAGGCGGCAGUGGGGAAUUUUGGACAAUGGGCGCAAGCCUGAUCCAGCCAUGCCGCGUGUCUGAAGAAGGCCUUCGGGUUGUAAAGGACUUUUGUCAGGGAAGCGGUACCUGAAGAAUAAGCACCGGCUAACUACGUGCCAGCAGCCGCGGUAAUUC